rnacentral:lncRNA from 1 species
UGGCCCUGGAGUUGUUAGUGCAGAACAGAGACACGAAGAGCCUCUAAAUCAUGUGCAGCGUCAGGUGCAAGUUCAAUGUUCCACCACACAUAUAAACUGGAAAACUGGAUGCUCCACUGCCCUCAAAGCUGUAAAUAGCAACCCACGCUCACAGUGAUCACAUUGCAACUUUCAUCUCUUUCCCCGGCUUAAAAAACAUAACAUGUGUUCUCUCUCGAGCAAAAAAAAAACAUAGGCAUAACUAACUAUAAGAUGUAUAUCAAAGAGGGAAAUAAUCUAAGCAAUUGCUCUUCAAAGAGGUACAAAUGAAACCAGGUGAAGGGCAGC